rnacentral:rRNA from 1 species
UUAAACUACUAAGGGCACACGGUGGAUGCCUAGGCGUCAGAAGGCGAAGAAAGACGUGGCCAUCUGCGAUAAGCUCGGGGGAGCUGCGGCGAGCAUUGAUCCCGAGAUCUCUGAAUGGGGCAACCCGGCUGCUAAGGCAGUCAGCGCGAGAGCGUGGCAAACGAGGAGAACUGAACCAUCUAAGUACCCUCAGGAAAAGAAAUCAAAAGAGAUUCCCUCAGUAGUGGCGAGCGAACGGGGAAGAGCCCAAACCGGAUAAAGCGAUUUAUUCGGGGUUGUAGGGCGUUCGGAACGGAUAGGCGAGAGAAUUUGAAUCUGUGUGGAAAACGGAACCAGAGAAGGUGAAAGUCCUGUAAAAGUAAUGUCGACUAUCCAAGAGCGUACCUGAGUACCACGAAGCCAGUGGAACUUUGUGGGAAGCAGGGUGUACCAUCAUCCAAGGCUAAAUACUACCUGACGACCGAUAGUGAACAAGUACCGUGAGGGAAAGGUGAAAAGCUCCCCAGCGAGGGAGGUGAAAUAGAACCUGAAACCGUGUGCCUACAAAUAGCGAGAGCACUAUUUGCUUGCAAAGUGUGAUCGCGUGCCUUUUGCAUAAUGAGCCUGCGAGUUACGAUAACUAGCGAGGUUAAGCCGAUAGGUGGAGCCGCAGCGAAAGCGAGUCUGAAGAGGGCGACGAGUUAGUUGUUGUAGACCCGAAACCGAGUGAUCUAUCCAUGGUCAGGAUGAAGUUUGGGUAACACCAAAUGGAGGUCCGCACCCACUAACGUUGAAAAGUUAGGGGAUGAACUGUGGAUUGGAGUGAAAGGCUAAACAAACUCGGAGAUAGCUGGUUCUCCCCGAAAUGUAUUUAGGUACAGCCUCUGACGAACGUUACUGGAGGUAGAGCACUGAAUAGGCUAGGGCCUUCACCAGGGUACCAAACCUAAUUAAACUCCGAAUGCCAGUAAACGAUAUCAGGGAGUGAGACAGUGAGAGCUAAGUUCCAUUGUCGAGAGGGAAAGAGCCCAGACCAUCAGCUAAGGUCCCCAAGUCAAUACUAAGUGGAGAAGGAUGUGGGAAUGCCCAGACAACCAGGAGGUUGGCUUAGAAGCAGCCACCCUUUAAAGAAAGCGUAAUAGCUCACUGGUCGAGUGCACCUGCGCCGAAAAUGUAACGGGGCUAAAGUAUUGCACCGAAGCUAUGGAUGUGUGUUUUAAGCACACGUGGUAGGGGAGCAUUCUGUAGGAGCGAGCCAUACCGCGAGGAGUGGUCGGGGCUUACAGAAGCGCAUAUGCAGGCAUGAGUAGCGAUAAAAGAAGUGAGAAACUUCUUCGCCGAAAACCACAGGUUUUCUGGGUCAAGCUAAUCUGCCCAGAGUUAGUCGGCCCCUAAGCCAAGGCUGAAAAGCGUAGGUGAUGGGAAACAGGUUAAUAUUCCUGUACCACUGUGGUGCUACUGAGAAGGAAGGACGGAGAAGGCAAGAGUCAGCGGUGAUGUGGAAUAACCGUUUAAAGCUUGUAGAUGGAGGCCCUAGGAGUACCAGUUACACAAACGGGGUCUUGGUAACAUUGAGGAGUGAUAAGGAAGGGCCGUAAAGGUCCUACAAACUGAUUGGCGCCCUGCUUCCGAGAAAAGUUUCGAUUCAGGCUAAGCACUGGAGUGACCGUACCGUAAACCGACACAGGUAGGUAAGGAGAGUAUCCUAAGGCGCUUGAGAUAACUCUGGUUAAGGAACUAGGCAAAUUGACACCGUAACUUCGGGAGAAGGUGUGCCCCCAUUAGGUGAAGCUCAUACGACUAGUAUACGGGCGGAGCUGAAGGGGGUGGCAGCAAAGCGGGGGUAGCGACUGUUUACCAAAAACAUAGGACUCUGCAAACUCGCAAGAGGAGGUAUAGGGUCUGACGCCUGCCCGGUGCUGGAAGGUUAAGUGGAGCAGUUAGUGUCUUAAGAUGCGAAGCUGUGAAACGAAGCCCCAGUAAACGGCGGCCGUAACUAUAACGGUCCUAAGGUAGCGAAAUUCCUUGUCGGGUAAGUUCCGACCUGCACGAAUGGUGUAACGACUUCCCCACUGUCUCAACCAGAGACUCAGCGAAAUUAAACUGUGCGUGAAGAUGCGCACUACCCGCAGAUAGACGGAAAGACCCCGUGAACCUUUACUAUAGCUUGGCACUGAUUUUCGGGCUGGUUUGUGUAGGAUAGGUGGGAGGCUGCGAAGCCGGGACGCUAGUUUCGGUGGAGCCACCCUUGAAAUACCACCCUGGCCAGUUUGGAAAUCUCACCUGCACGUGUUAACCACGUGGGGGACAAUGCCUGGUGGGUAGUUUGACUGGGGCGGUCGCCUCCUAAAGAGUAACGGAGGCUCACGAAGGUUCCCUCAGGCUGAUUGGAAACCAGCCAAAGAGUGUAAAGGUAUAAGGGAGCUUGACUGCAACACCGACGGGUGGAGCAGGUGCGAAAGCAGGUCUUAGUGAUCCGGUGGUUCCGCAUGGAAGGGCCAUCGCUCAAAGGAUAAAAGGUACUCCGGGGAUAACAGGCUUAUCUCCCCCAAGAGUUCACAUCGACGGGGAGGUUUGGCACCUCGAUGUCGGCUCAUCGCAUCCUGGGGGCAUCUAAGUGGGAAGCCCCCUCCAAGAUAAGAGAUCCUGGACGUAUGUCCCCUAAAGGUCCGUUGGAGACUACAACGUUGAUAGGCAAGGUGUGGAAGCGUAGCGAUACGUGGAGCUAACUUGUACUAAAUGACCGGGCAGUUUAGUUAUUUUCUUCCUUGUGUACUUAAGGGCAAAUUCAAAUCAUCUCAAAGUUUCCCGGUGAAGUUAGCAAAGUGGCCACACCCGAACCCAUCCCGAACUCGGAAGUUAAGCACUUUAGCGCCGAUGGUACUGCAGGGGUAGCUCUGUGGGAGAGUAGGACAUCGCCGGGUUUUUUAUUUUUGGCCCCGUGCCCCUACAGGUACCAGGGCCUUUUCGCU